UCCCUCUCAGGAUUGCACCUGGAGAGUUUCCAGUACUCUAUCAGUCUCGGCCACAGGAGGGAGAGUCCAACAAAGACAUACCCAUUUCAUUCCUAGCUUGUCCAGUGGCUAGCGAGUGGAAGGAAAUCUGCUACAAGA